rnacentral:misc_RNA from 1 species
CCGAGUCACACUUUUGUGAGACAACUCAGAGGCUUUUCCUUUUUUUUUGUUUGUUUGUAGCGACACGAGAGUGGGCAGAGGGAUAGUCGAAGCGCCCAUGCCCGUCUUGCCCUUCAACACCCGCGCUGUUACUUUUUCCACGAUUGCUUUGUUUGUCGAACUCGCCGCCAGGGCCGAGGCACCGCAGAAAAAGAAAGCACCAUAGCCACACGCCCACGGACCCAGGUGCGCGCCUCUCCAGGGAGUUUUUUGUGCGUCUUUCGUGCGAGUUUCUCGAGACUCGGGCCAUUGGUGUGCAGCUGCCGCGCCGUGGCAAGCAGACAAGAGCCAAGAGCUCCGAUCCGAAGCACGAAAGCGCCUCCGCUUUAACGUCGAGGUGGAGGCACGAACGUUUUUUUUUUCUGCCGGCUUUGCGCUCGUUUGGUCCCCUUAGCGCAGCUCUUUUCGCUCUCCCGCGUCUUCAGAGUAUUUUCCAGCUCGUCACGUUUCAGGAGGGAUGCGGUGGCGGCAAUGGUGGUCGGCGCUUCGCUACUCCAAGUACGGUGACGUCCCUUUUGUGCUUCUCGGCGUGCUCAUCGGCUGGAACUGUGAUGUGAGCUGUGCCGUGAAGGGGGUAUCCAUGGUGCCCACCUUAAACCCCGGUGAGUACAUCCUCUUUGUCCCGUACACAAUGCUUCAGGUACGCCGCUGGUUCAAUGCCCCUCUGGUAAACCUGAGUGAUGUGGUGGUUGUCAAGGUGUCCGAUGACCUUUCAGUUUGCAAGAGAGUUGUCAAGUGCACCUCUAGCAGAGCACAGGCUGAGGAAUGGGGCAAGGAGCACUACGUGGAAGUGAUGCCUGCGCCGUACAGUCCACCGGUUCCACAGCACAUGAAUGGCGACGACGAGGACUCAACAGAGAUGGACAGUGCGGCGAACUCUGAGCGGGCCUACUUCGACUACGUUGCCCGUAACACCGUCCGCUCCAAAGACUGGGACUCGUGCAUUGAUCGCAUCCCCAACCCCUCUCAGUGGAUCUGGCUGGAGGGCGACAACAAAUCCGAGAGCUUCGACUCUCGCCGUUGUGGACCAGUGCCGGUCGAGUGCAUUCGUGGUCUUGUUCUUGCAUCCAUUUGGCCCUCUCCUCACGCCCUUCAGCGACCCCCACCACCACCGCGCGCAUCGCAGCUUCACUGAAGCCUCACUUCCUCCGCCCGUCUCCUCUUCGCUACACAAGACGACACGGCACCCCUCAGCAGCUAUUGGUGCGUGCAUUCACCAGAAACGGUCGAAUAAAGCAUCUACGUUAGCAGCACGCAGUGAUAACUACCACAACGGUUACCUUUCACGCACACAAACUUGAAAAUCCAGCUACGAUCGAAGCGUUACCUAAACCAUUUACAUCAGGUCACGCGAAGAGCACAGCCCUUCCGCCGCCUGUAGUCCCCAAUUCUCUCCAG